AACGAACGCUGGCGGCAGGCCUAACACAUGCAAGUCGAGCGGACCUUUCGGGGUCAGCGGCGGACGGGUGAGUAACGCGUGGGAAUAUGCCCUUCUCUACGGAAUAGUCCUGGGAAACUGGGGGUAAUACCGUAUACGCCCUUUGGGGGAAAGAUUUAUCGGGGAAGGAUUAGCCCGCGUUGGAUUAGGUAGUUGGUGGGGUAAUGGCCUACCAAGCCGACGAUCCAUAGCUGGUUUGAGAGGAUGAUCAGCCACACUGGGACUGAGACACGGCCCAGACUCCUACGGGAGGCAGCAGUGGGGAAUCUUAGACAAUGGGGGCAACCCUGAUCUAGCCAUGCCGCGUGAGUGAUGAAGGCCUUAGGGUUGUAAAGCUCUUUCAGCUGGGAAGAUAAUGACGGUACCAGCAGAAGAAGCCCCGGCUAACUCCGUGC
rnacentral:rRNA from 1 species